GAUGAACGCUGGCGGCGUGCCUAAUACAUGCAAGUCGAGCGAACAGACGAGGAGCUUUCUCCUCUGACGUUAGCGGCGGACGGGUGAGUAACACGUGGAUAACCUACCUAUAAGACUGGGAUAGAUUCGGGAAACCGGAGCUAAUACCAGCUAACAUGUUGAACCGCAUGGUUCAACAGUGUAAGACGGUCUUGCUGUCACUUAUAGAUUGAUCCGGGCCGCAUAGCUAGUUGGUAAGGUAAAGGCUUACCAAGGCAACGAUACGUAGCUGACCUGGGAGGGUGAUCGGCCACACUGGAACUGAGACACGGACCAGACUCCUACGGGAGGCAGCAGUAGGGAAUCUUGCGCAAUGGGCGAAAGCCUGACGGAGCAACGCCGCGUGAGGGAAGAAGGUCUUCGGAUCGUAAAACUCUGUUAUAAGGGAAGAACAAAUGUGUAAGUAACUAUGCACGUCUUGACGGUACCUAAUCAGAAAGCCACGGCUAACUACGUG
rnacentral:rRNA from 1 species